AUGAACCUCCUUCGGGAGGGGAUUAGUGGCGAACGGGUGAGUAACACGUGGGCAAUCUGCCCUGCACUCUGGGACAAGCCCUGGAAACGGGGUCUAAUACCGGAUACUGAUCAUCUUGGGCAUCCUUGGUGAUCGAAAGCUCCGGCGGUGCAGGAUGAGCCCGCGGCCUAUCAGCUUGUUGGUGAGGUAAUGGCUCACCAAGGCGACGACGGGUAGCCGGCCUGAGAGGGCGACCGGCCACACUGGGACUGAGACACGGCCCAGACUCCUACGGGAGGCAGCAGUGGGGAAUAUUGCACAAUGGGCGAAAGCCUGAUGCAGCGACGCCGCGUGAGGGAUGACGGCCUUCGGGUUGUAAACCUCUUUCAGCAGGGAAGAAGCGAAAGUGACGGUACCUGCAGAAGAAGCGCCGGCUAACUACGUGCCAGCAGCCGCGGUAAUACGUAGGGCGCGAGCGUUGUCCGGAAUUAUUGGGCGUAAAGAGCUCGUAGGCGGCUUGUCGCGUCGGUUGUGAAAGCCCGGGGCUUAACCCCGGGUCUGCAGUCGAUACGGGCAGGCUAGAGUUCGGUAGGGGAGAUCGGAAUUCCUGGUGUAGCGGUGAAAUGCGCAGAUAUCAGGAGGAACACCGGUGGCGAAGGCGGAUCUCUGGGCCGAUACUGACGCUGAGGAGCGAAAGCGUGGGGAGCGAACAGGAUUAGAUACCCUGGUAGUCCACGCCGUAAACGGUGGGCACUAGGUGUGGGCGACAUUCCACGUCGUCCGUGCCGCAGCUAACGCAUUAAGUG
rnacentral:rRNA from 1 species